AUACGUAGGGAGCGAGCGUUGUCCGGAAUUACUGGGUGUAAAGGGAGCGUAGGCGGGAGUGCAAGUCAGAUGUGAAAUACAUGGGCUCAAUCCAUGGGCUGCAUUUGAAACUGCAUUUCUUGAGUGAAGUAGAGGUAAGCGGAAUUCCUGGUGUAGCGGUGAAAUGCGUAGAUAUCAGGAGGAACACCGGUGGCGAAGGCGGCUUACUGGGCUUUUACUGACGCUGAGGCUCGAAAGCGUGGGGAGCAAACAGGAUUAGAUACCCUGGUAGUCCACGCUGUAAACGAUGAAUACUAGGUGUGGGGGGACUGACCCCCUCCGUGCCGCAGUUAACACAAUAAGUAUUCCACCUGGGGAGUACGAUCGCAAGAUUGAAACUCAAAGGAAUUGACGGGG
rnacentral:rRNA from 1 species